GGGUGGUAAUGCCGGAUGCUCCGACUCCUCGCAUGGGGUGUCGGGAAAGAUUUCAUCGGUAUGGGAUGGGGUCGCGUCCUAUCAGGUAGUCGGCGGGGUAACGGCCCACCGAGCCUACGACGGGUAGCCGGCCUGAGAGGGCGACCGGCCACAUUGGGACUGAGAUACGGCCCAGACUCCUACGGGAGGCAGCAGUGGGGAAUAUUGCACAAUGGGCGCAAGCCUGAUGCAGCGACGCCGCGUGCGGGAUGACGGCCUUCGGGUUGUAAACCGCUUUUGAUCGGGAGCAAGCCUUCGGGUGAGUGUACCUUUCGAAUAAGCACCGGCUAACUACGUGCCAGCAGCCGCGGUAAUACGUAGGGUGCAAGCGUUAUCCGGAAUUAUUGGGCGUAAAGGGCUCGUAGGCGGUUCGUCGCGUCCGGUGUGAAAGUCCAUCGCUUAACGGUGGAUCUGCGCCGGGUACGGGCGGGCUGGAGUGCGGUAGGGGAGACUGGAAUUCCCGGUGUAACGGUGGAAUGUGUAGAUAU
rnacentral:rRNA from 2 species